rnacentral:rRNA from 1 species
GAUGAACGCUGGCGGCGUGCCUAAUACAUGCAAGUAGAACGCUGAAGCUUGGUGCUUGCACCGAGCGGAGGAGUUGCGAACGGGUGAGUAACGCGUAGGUUACCUGCCUCUUAGCGGGGGAUAACUAUUGGAAACGAUAGCUAAUACCGCAUAAAAGUCGACAUUGCGUGAUGUUGACUUGAAAGGUGCAACUGCAUCACUAAGAGAUGGACCUGCGUUGUAUUAGCUAGUUGGUGAGGUAACGGCCCACCAAGGCGACGAUACAUAGCCGACCUGAGAGGGUGAUCGGCCACACUGGGACUGAGACACGGCCCAGACUCCUACGGGAGGCAGCAGUAGGGAAUCUUCGGCAAUGGACGGAAGUCUGACCGUGCAACGCCGCGUGAGUGAAGAAGGUUUUCGGAUCGUAAAGCUCUGUUGUAAGAGAAGAACGAGUGUGAGAGUGGAAAGUUCACACUGUGACGGUAACUUACCAGAAAGGGACGGCUAACUACGUGC